rnacentral:rRNA from 1 species
GAAAAUGGCCAUACCACCCUGAACAUGUGCCAUCUCAUCUGAUCUCAGAAGCUAUGCAGGGUCAGGCCUGGUUAGUACUUGGAUGGGAGAAUGCCUUGCCCUACA